GGGUGACGAGCGGCGAACGGCUGAGGAACACGUUGGUACCUGCCCCAAACUCAGGGAUAAGCUCGAGAAAUUGAGUCUAAUACCGGAUACCCCAGCAAUGGGAAAGAUUUAUCGGUUUGGGAGGGGCCUGCGGCGUAUCAGCUUGUUGGUGAGGUAAAGGCUCACCAAGGCUAUGACGCGUAUCUGGUGUGAGAGCACGACCAGACACAAUGGGACUGAGAUACGGCCCAUACUCC
rnacentral:rRNA from 1 species